CAUGCUUUCCAAUCCAUUCGUGUCCAUGUAUUUUGGUGCGGCAUAUUUGGCAUGGUUAUCAGAAUAUGAAGGGAGGGAAAGAACUCCACAGUUUGUUGUUCAGGCUUAUAUGGCCGGGCCAAAGAAUGCGAAUCUUCAGGAGACAGGUCCAAUUUGUCUCAAAUUCCAGCAAACAUUGAGUAAUUAUGAAGACACGAAGAGGGAUGAAGUGGGCUGCACCAUCUUGUAAGCUGACAAAUAUCACUUUACAUUUUUCAAAAGAUCAUCUGUGAAGCUUUAAG